rnacentral:lncRNA from 1 species
AAAUUUGAAGAUUUUCCCAUUUUUAAGCCGCCACAAUGUCCUAAACAAGAGGGUAUUGAUGACUGUGGCAUCUUUACAAUCAAACACAUGGAGCAGUAUGGUGAAAAGUGGUGGAUUGAGGUAUGUUUUCAUUUAUACUAGAGAAUUUGAAUGGUAAUGAGUGGCAUGGGCAUUAACUUCAUUGAAAUUUAUGCAUUGCAGUAUAACUCAAAAGAGGUUCGCAAAGAGCUAACCUUGAAAUUGAUAAGGAACGGAUACAACAACAGAUGGCAAAUGAUGUGUAGAAACAUCAAAAAACGAUUAAAGAAUGAGAAAUAGGAAAACAAGAUUGAAGAGCCUCAGAACAAUCAAGAGACUGAGAAGCGCGGAAAGAAUGUACAGGUCCUGAAGCAAGCGAAGAUUGAACCGACCGAGAGCAACACAAACGGAAAACCACAAGUGCACGAAACUGUAAAACCUUGCAACAGAACCGUAAAACCUCGCACCAGAAAGAGUAAUGUCCAAAGUGUCCGCCGUAGCCAUUGGUAGAACCUAUGUCUCCUUAUUGUAAAACCUCAUCCUCUCACAUGCGAUAUGUACUAUAUUACUAUGUAUUAACUACUUUAUUAUGUGUACAUUAUUCACAUGAGAUGUGUACUUUUUUGAAAGGUCUACUUGUUUACGAAGCCGGGUCUGCUUAUUUACGAGUAGGAGUUUACUUUUUUUGUGAGACAAAAUGGUCUACCUGUUUACGAACACUAACCUACCUGUUUUGUGAAUGUGGUGUAUCAGCGCUUCGAACCAUUGACUCACACUACAAGUAGACCAAUUAUAAAGUGUCAAGAAUUCACAGACACUUAAAGAAUUCUUGAGAGGUCUACCUGUUUAUGAAGUAUAGUCUGCUUAUUUACGAGUAGGGGUCUACUUUUUUUGUGAGACAAAAUGGUCUACCUGUUUACGAACACUAACCUACCUGUUUUGUGAACGUGAUGUACCAGCGCUUCGAACCACUGACUCACACAACGAGUAGACAAAUUGUAAAGUGUUCAGAAUUCAUAGACACAUGAAGAAUUCUUGAGAGGUCUACCUGUUUACGAAACCUAGUCUGCUUAUUUACGAGUACAAGUCUACUUUUUUGGUGAGACAAAAUUGUCUACCUGUUUACGAACACUAACCUACCUGUUUUGUGAACGUGGUGUACUAGUGCUUCGAACCACUGACUCACACUGCAAGUAGACCAACUCUAAAGUGUCCAGAAUUCAAAGACACUUGAAGAAUUCUUAAGAGGUCUACAUGUUUACGAAGCCUGGUCUGCUUAUUUACGAGUACGAAUCUACUUUUUUGGUGAGACAAAAUGGUCUACCUGUUUACAAACACUAACAUACCUGUUUUGUGAACGUAGUGUACCACUGCUUCGAACCACUGACUCACACUACGAGUAGACCAACAAUAAAGUGUCCAGCAUUCACAGACACAUGAAGAAUUCUUGAAAAGUGUACCUGUUUACGAAAACUGGUAUGCUUAUUUACGAGUGAGGGUCUACUUUUCUUGUGAGUCAAAAUGGUCUACCUGUUUACGAACACUAACCUACCUGUUUUGUGAACGUGGUGUACCAGCGCUUCGAACCAUUGACUCACAGUGUCACAUCCCGACCCUUAAAUUUUUACCUUAUUUUCUUGCUUGGUUAAAAUAAGAAUUUUACCGUCUCCGUCUUUGAGGUUAUAGUUUAAUUGGUCCUUAGAGGGGUUUUGGGGACGGUUAUGCUCAGGGGAUUAUUUGUAGGAGGAAAAUUUGACGACGGUAAAAAAAUGGUAAAUUUUAGCUAGUAAAAGGUAAUUUUUAUUAGGGUAUUAUUUUUUCGGGGUGUUUUAUUUUGGAGUGGGUUGAUAUAUGGGUGUUGGACCGGUUUGGAGAGGCCCAAACAAUCUCCCUCUCUUUCUCUUCUCUCUCUCUUCUUUCCUGCAUCCGAGCCUCUCCCGUUGCCGGAUUUUCUUGCCGUCCAUCCGCCGCCGUCCGGCCACCAACCGCCGCCGCCCCGGUCCCAUUCGGUCGGCCAUCAACCCAGCUACCUCCCUGGACCGGUGACAGCCGCCCUAGCUCCGUCGUGAAGGAGUUCUCACCCCCGAAAGGUCCGGCUGUCGUGGUGGUUUUCUCGCCGGAACUUCCUCCUCUGGCCGCCAUAGCCGGAGCUACUUGGCUCAAAAGUGAGCCCUCCUCCUGUGCAGCAACCCCUCCAAAGGUCUCACCCUCUCUUGAGCUAGGUAAUGAGAAUUGUGGAAUUGAAUUUUCUAGGGCUUUUAGGAUGUUUUCGUUCGAUUGACCUAGUUAGGCUUGGAAUUAGGUAUUGUGCUAGUUAAGGAAGUUGUAGAGGGAGUUGAGAGAAAGAUUCUUUCAAAAUUUCAUAGGCAUUGGAGGUCGCCAGAAUCGGCCUGCGGCCGCCGCUGUUUGGGAGUUUUGUAUGGUUUUAAAUGUGGAAUAUUUAGGGGAGUUUAUUGAUGUGAAUUAUGGAAUUUUUGGAUGAGUUUUGAAUAGGUUUGUGAAUUUUCGAAGUUUGGUAAUUUUGACAGAUUAAUAAGGUAGAAUCCGGCCGUUGGAUUAAAGUCGUAUAAUCUGUGGAAGGGUGUAGUUAAGGCUGCUAGUUUUAGUGUUGAGGUGUGGACCGUAUCGAAGUUAGGCAAUGAUGAGCGUGAGUAUGGCUCUCGGUUAAUUUUGCCUAUUUUGUUUAAAUAUUGGAUUUUUAGUGGGGAAAUUAAUUAUAUAUUUGUGCCAAUGUUCGAAGAAACCUCACUGGAGCGGCGAUUUGCAUUUCGUCAGGCUUAUGCCUAUAGUUGUGAGUGGACUUUUGUUUUAAAUAAUAUGCAUGCUAUGGUUCAUGGUUGAACAAUUUGUUUUGUUGGAGCAUUUGACGUCAUUUUAAUUUUGACGAUUUUAUUUUUCUUAGAGAGUUACCGAAAAUGGGAUUUCGGUGAAUAUAAAUAUGUAUUUAUGAGGAGAGUAUGUAUAUAACAGCUAGCUAGCCUUAUGUGUCUGUUCACCUUAAUGGCGUAGCAUAUAGCCGCAUUAUAGUGACGUGAGCGUUGGACGCGAGAGUAGUAGCCCUAUAUGAGUGUUUAAUUCAUAUAGGGGGUUUGGGCACAUAUUUAUACACUCGUCUAUCCAUCUUAAUGGCGUAGUGUAGCACCGCAUUAAGGCGUGACGUGAGUGUUGGACGCGAGCGUAGUAGCCCUAUAUAGACCCAUGAAUUUAUAUAAGGAGUAUGGACGUGUGUAUAUACAUACAUAUAUUCUAGAGCCUAAGAGGCUCGAUAUUUUAUGAGAUGAAAGUUUUAUCACUUGCAGCAUGCAUUCGAUUUUUCCUUGGAAAUUGAUUUGGAGAAACAUAAAUAUUUUAUUUAUAAUUUUAUUUUUUGUUCACUCACUCUAACGUGUUUCAAAUGUUUUCCCCUGGGCCAUUCGUUUUAGAAAUGCCCAGUUGGCAGGAUUGCAUAGUUGAGGUCGGGCGUACAUGGAGAAGGGGUAUAGUCAAUAGUAUAGCUUCCGCUCAUUUCUAUAUUUUCUAGUUUAUUUCCUCUCAAUUAGAAUUGCUCUGAACUGUGAUUGUACGUUGGUUGUGGGAUUAUUCUUAUUAAAGUUAGUAAUAAAUUGGGAGAUGUUGUGAUUUGGGGAGCACGAAGGCUCCAGGAGUAGAGGGUUAUAGAUGGAUUCUUUUGAAGUGUAUGCAUGUAUUUCUAGGAAGGGUUGUCCAUUUUCAAGGGAGGUUAUGCCGAAUUUUCGGUAAAUUUUCCUUGGAGGUGGUCCCCGCAGGAUUUACUUCGGGUUUUAGGGUGAAAUUCUGGGUGGGUCUUUACAGUUGGUAUCAGAGCAUUAGGUUAUUCGAUUCCUUUCUCUUUUUAGUACUACCUCAUAUUCUUGGUCAUACUUAGUGUCUAUAGAGUGAUGGUCCGACCGCGGCGGAUCUAUUAGCAUUAUAUGCUUUAAACACUAUGUGUUGAUUAGGUUUGUGAUGUAGUUAUUCUUGUCUUAGUUAUGGACAAUAUUAUGCCAUAAAUGUUUAUAUCUUCAAGACUAUGCCUCUGUACGCCGACCUCUUGGAUAAUCAUUAUGCUUUGAGUAAUGAAAAGGUGUAUGGAUUAUGCCUUUUCUCGAGGGUUAUCAAUUUGAUAUCUUAAAUUUGUUAAGAGUUCAAUUGCGAGUUGAGAACUCCAGUUGGGAACUCAUAUGCGUAGCAGCAUUCCUUUCAUUUGACCAAUGAUUGAUUGGGUUAUGAUUAAGAUGUUAGGGUGAACAUCUUGUGUGAAUCUGUAGUAGGGAAACGUUUGAUUCGAAGCAUGUCUUGGAGUUUCCUAUUUAUGGUGGUGGGCAGAUAUGGAGUUGUAGUAAUCCGGUGGAAGAUCUUGGUAUCGAGAUCGUGACUUCUAGGAGCAAAGAGUUGGAAGAAAAGUUUAAAGUAGUGAUGUUCUCUUUGGAUGUUAAAGUUAGUUGAAGUGUUAUGGUGGAGUACCCAUAGUAAUUCAAAGAGGUACCUAUGUGAGUUGUUGAGGACUCAAUUUUGGGCUAAUUAGUCACGGGGGAUUUGUGGCUAAUAAAAAAGGCUAUCAAUUUAGAGAAGUCUUGAUUGAUGACCAAAUUUCCAACUGCCUUGUCCGUAGAGAAAGUCAGUUGGGAUUAUUUUGGUUAAAUGCUUGUUAUGGUAUGGUGGCGCAUGUUCUGGCCAUACAGCUCUAAUCAAGGAUAUGUUCUUAUCCUUGGAAUCUUCAUAUUAAAGAGUAUAAUCAGAGCAUUUUGGAGAAGGAGGUUAAUAGCAGUCGUUGAAUAGUAAGAUUUUUAGGUGACUUUCGUCUAUAUUGUGGUUUAGCUGAAGCCGGCUAAGGCGUUAAGUAUAAGAGUCCAGGAUUAUUUUCCUUGGAUUGUUGGCCUUACAAGAGUCAUUGAGCAUAGCGUUGUGAAAAACUUAUUGUUGUGCCUUAGUCAAAGAAUUUUAGAAUUUGAUUGGCGUCAUUAAAUGUUUUGAAUUUUCAAGUAAGCUUGAAAUCGUUGAGUGAGAUGUCGGUUAUAUUAUUUUAAUCGUGGGGCCAUUAUAGAUUCUUUUGGAAUUCUAAGUGUUGAAGUUGGGUUUCUAGUUUUGUUGAGUGUUAGAGGAAGAUGAUAAAUUUAAAUGGAAUUGAAAAGUAAUGGUGGAGUGAGAGCGAGAUGGUUAUGGUCGCUCCGGUUUUACGACAACUUCUGGUGAAUUUGUUAUGUGUUGUCAUGGGUAUUCUAUAACAGUUGUGUGGAGUUGGUGGAAGUGGUAGCAGUGGAAUCAAACCCACUGGAUCAUGUAGCAAGAGUGCGUGGGUGUCCAAAGUAAUUUUUAGGCAGUGUCGUUCCGGGUGGUUGAUAUAAGUCUUGAAUUUGUGAUCAAAGUUGGUUUUUUUGACAUCACUUCGUUAGCGGUUGGUGACUAGCUAUGACACAUCUAUGGGAGGAUCUGUUCACUCACCUUAUACCUAAUUUGGUGAUGUGGACCAGAGUUUUGGUUGUUGUGUGUGUGGGAAUAUAUAAAUUAUUCUUGCUGCAGUUUUGGGUAGCAUCCUCAGAGUUUGAAACUAUGGAGUGCGAAUUCGAACGCAACGAUGUGAAGGUUAGUGAUUUUGGUUAGUUGUCGAAUUUAUGAUAAAUUGGUUGUUGUGUCGUAGGCAUGGAUCCUGGAUAAAUCCAGUCGUGAUCCCAAGUGAGCUGGAGUUUAUUUAAGCGUCGAUUCAUAGAGUCGCAAGUUCUGUGGGAGUCUGAGAGUCGAGUGAGAUGUUAAAUAGAUGGUUUGUGUCGUUGUAGGUAUAUUUCAUGAUGUAGCCUUAUGGGAGAAGGUUUUCCCCUGUUGACUCAAGAAGCUUUUCGAGUCAAAGUUUAUUAAGAGAUUUAUUAUGGCGAAUAGUAGAUUUAUUGAUAGGUUGAUCAAUGUCUCUUCUCGGGAUCGUAUUGUGGUGGGACCACUCAUUGAUCCAAGUUUGGUUUGGGAGGUCUUCGCUAUUUGGUUGUGCGUUCAUCCGUUGGUGUCAAGACCAUUAGUUGAGGUUUUUAGUGCUAUUUCGAAACGGGUUCUGGCGGAUAUCGGAAAUUUGUGGAGCUUUUGAGCUCGAAGUUAGAGGACUUGCCUUUCGUGUGCUUUAGGUUAUUUCUUCUGGAACUUGAGCUGAGUUUAGCCAUGAGUUUUGAUUCUUGCUUGAAUUCAUGGUUGGUUGGUGAACUACAAGGUGUAGUAGUGGGUCUUGUAUAAAAAUUAAUCUUUGCUUUUGCUAGUUGCAUGUUAUUGCAAGCUCGGUUAUCGAAGAAUCUUUUUGGUGGGAAGCCGUGGCCCUGGAAGGUGUAAGAGACUUGAGCAUAUCUGAUUUUCAGAUUGUUUUCUGCUAUCAGAUUUAUUGUUGUUAGAGGUAGAAAAAAAAAGUGUGUUUGUUGGGUCCAAAGGUUUUGGCAUUUUGAAUCAUUCUUGUGAAAUGGCUAGAGUGAGCCGUGUGAUUUUAAUUGUUGCUCUUGGGGUCGCGGUUGCACCCGAAUAAGUAGCAUGGCUGGAGAUGUAUUCUUUUGUCAAUGUUUAAGGAAGGUGUUUUAUUUAUGUGGAUUUCAACGUCAUGUUUAGCAUCAUGAAUUGACUGUGCCAAUUUUUCGUGGGCAUUUUUAGUCAAUUUUGUUUAUGGCGAGCAAGGAGGAAAUUCCAGUCUCCACAUGAUAAUCAUGCUUCAGAUUAUCUUCUGGUUUGAGGUAAAGAGAAUAGUGGAGAUAGCAAAAUCAAGGAAGAGUUGGAAUUCCCAUAAGCUGCUAGUUUGUGGUUCGCAAAAUGGUAAUGUAAUAGUUUUGGUGGAGAGACCUAAGUGUAGUAGUAUUGAGCUUUUCAUAAUGUCAUUUCGAGAUUCGAGCUUAUCAUUUGUUGGUGGACUGGUCACUUAGGCAGAGCAAGGUGGUCUUGUGGACUUGCGAGAACUUUGACUCCGCGAAAGACUCUACGAAAUGUCUCGGCAUUAGAAGUGAUUGUUGCAGUUUUGCAGUGUGUGCAUCCUUAAUCUGUUCAAUUAGCAGGUCUUAAUUUUGACCCCUAUGAGCAUGUGGGAAUGUGUAAACUUUAGUUUCCUAACAAGUGGACUUCAUUGUUGAGUUGUGAGCAGCGUAAUGAUGAGGUUGUUGCGUGACGUUAGGAAAUUUGAGCCCGAUGGUGAUAGCAAAUUUAUGCGCUUUAUUUGGGUUAGCUAUUUCCAUUGCUCAGGAAAGAGUGUGCAUACCUACGGGUACUCGUACUCUGGAGCAGGUAUCACUGAACCCAUUUACAUGUAAACGUUAGUGGUAGUUCAACGAAGGAUUUAGAGUCUUUGAGAAGAUUAAAAAUAUUUCAGUAUGCAAAUGAAAAAGGUAAAGGAGUCAGAGAUAGACUCAAAGCAGCUCAAAGUAGCUCAAAGUAGCCAGAAGAGUUAUAAAGAUGUCCGCACCACGAGUUUCAAGUGAGUGUUUUCGAAAAUUAUCUCCUUAGAAAGGGGUAGUACGUUUUGGUAACGUGAAAAGCUUGGUCCGAGAUUUAUUGGUCCUUAUGGGUUUUUAGAUCAAGUUGGCUCUCUUGCGUAUCGUUUAGUUUUGCCUCCAGUUUUAUCUAGGAUACAUAUUGUGUUUCAUGUAUCCAUGCUUCGCAAGGAUAUUGCGGAUCCUUCUCAUGUGUUGCAAGAGCAGCCGAAUUGUUUGAAGAAAGAUCUGACUUAUGAAGAGGAUCUGACUUAUGAAGAGGAGCCAGUUCAGAUUUUGGACCGAAAGGAGCAAGUGUUGAGGAACAAGAUAAUCUCACUUGUCAAGGUGCUUUGGAGAAGUUAUCAAGUAGAGGAAGCUACCUGGGAGUUAGAGGAGCAAAGGAGGCAGCAAUAUCCCUACCUCUUUGGUUGUCAUGUAUGUAAAUUUCAAGGAUGAAAUUUUUAUAAGGAGGGGAGAAUUGUCACAUCCCGACCCUUAAAUUUUUACCUUAUUUACUAGCUUGGUUAUAAUAAGAAUUUUACCAUCUCCGUCUUUGAGGUUAUAGUUUAAUUGGUCCCUAAAGGGGUUUCGGGGACGGUUAUGCUCGGGGGAUUAUUCGUAGGAGGAAAAUUUGACGACGGUAAAAAAAUGGUAAAUUUUAGCUAGUAAAGGGUAAUUUUUAUUAGGGUAUUAUUUUUUCGGGGUGUUUUAUUUUGGAGUGGGUUGAUAUAUGGGUGCUGGACCUGUUUGGAGAGGCCCAAACCAUCUCCCUCUCUUUCUCUUCUCUCUCUCUUCUCUCCCGCACCCAAGCCACUCCCGCUGCCGGAUUUUCUCGUCGUCCAUCCAGCCACCAACCGCCGCCGCUCCGGUCCCGUUCGGUCGGCCAUCAACCCAGCUACCUCCCUGGACCGAUGACAGCCGCCCUAGCUCUGCCAUGAAGGAGUUCUCACCCCCGAAAGGUCCGGCUGUCGUGGUGGUUUCUCGCCGGAACUUCCUCCUCCGGCCGCUAUAGCCGGAGCUGCUUGGUUUAAAAGUGAGCCCUCCUCCCGUUCAGCAACCCCUCCAAAGGUCUCACCCUCUCUUGAGCUAGGUAAGGAGAAUUGUGGAGUUGAAUUUUCUAGGAUUUUUAGGAUGUUUUCGUUCGAUUGACCUAGUUAGGCUUGGAAUUGGGUGUUGUGCUAGUUAAGGAAGUUAUAGAGGAAGUUGAGAGGAAGAUUCUGUCAAAAUUUCAUAGGCAUUGGAGGUCGCCGGAAUCGGCCUGCGGCCGCCGCUGUUUGGGAGUUUUGUAUGGUUUUAAAUGUGGAAUAUUUAGGGGAGUUUAUUGAUGUGAAUUAUGGAAUUUUUGGAUGAGUUUUGGAUAGGUUCGUGAAUUUUUGAAGUUUGGUAAUUUUGGCGGAUUAAUAAGGUAGAAUCCAGCCGUUGGAUUAAAGUCGUAUAAUCUGUGGAAGGGUGUAGUUAAGGCUGCUGGUUUUAGUGUUGAGGUGUGGACCGUAUCGAAGUUAGGCAAUAAUGAGCGUGAGUAUGGCUCUCGGUUAAUUUUGCCUAUUUUGUUUAAAUAUUGGAUUUUUAGUGGGGAAAUUAAUUAUAUAUUUGUGCCAGGGUUCGAGGAAACCUCACUGGAGCGACGAUUUGGAUUUCGUCGGGCUUAUGCCUAGAGUUGUGAGUGGACUUUUGUUUUAAAUAAUAUGCAUGUUAUGGUUCAUGGUUGAACAAUUUGUUUUGUUGGAGUAUUUGACGUCAUUUUAAUUUUGACGAUUUUAUUUCUCUUAGAGAGUCACCGAAAAUCCCAUUUUCGGUGAAUAUAAAUAUGUAUUUAUGAGGAGAGUAUGUAUAUAACAGCUAGCUAGCCCUAUGUGUCUGUCCACCUUAAUGGCGUAGCAUAUAGCCGUAUUAUGAUGUGACGUGAGCGUUAGACACGAGAGUAGUAGCCCUAUAUGAGUGUUUAAUUCAUAUAGGGGGCAUGAGCACAUAUUUAUACACUCGUCUGUCCAC